AUCCUACAAUGAUUUAGGGGUCUGCCAUACUUAUGAAGAUUUUAGGGACUCAAUGGUUUGGGCUAUGCAGGGAUAUCCCCUUUAAGAUGCCAAGAACCUGGACAUCCUCCACCAGAACAAUCUCACAACAUGUCAAGUUUCCAGAGAUUGCUACUGCCUUCUUAAGCAGAUUUUCAAUGACCUAAGUUCCACUGGAAGUAGACCUAACAUAACUAGGAUGAACAGGAA